AUGAAAAAGAACCGGUGUAAUUCUGAAGAUGCAUGUGCAAUUAGAACAAGCAUGUAUUCUUCACUAAGAAUGAGAUUUACAGUUGGCGCAGCACUUGUCAACUGUGGCUCGGAUAGAACUGCAAUCAAGACGCAGGGGAGAAGUGGCAGUCAGAAUUUUGCAUCUACCUAUUGUUGGAUUCAUUGGAAGAACAAGGAGAAACUCACUGAAAGGGGACUGACCGGGAAGCAGAUUGGGCACUCAUUGAGGUCGGGCCUGGGGUCGUUCGACCUCGAGGAUGAGCCGGCGCAGCUUCUUGAGGUCGACGUCUGGGUGCGGGUAGAGCCCCUGCCGCUCCGUGUUUUAUAG
rnacentral:rRNA from 1 species